CACCUUAGCUAUACGUCUCUCGGCUAUAAAUAACGCCAAGUGAGCAUAGCUCAUCAUCAUUUCAUUUGCAUACCGAAAAAUCAAGAAUAGGAAAGAAAUGGGAAGAGUUAUGAAUAUAUGUGUGGUUGUUUUAUUAUGUUUAAUAGGUGGUGCAAUUGCUGAGCAAUGUGGUAGGCAAGCAGGUGGCAAGCUCUGUCCUAAUAACCUAUGUUGUAGCCAGUAUGGGUGGUGUGGCAGUAGUGAUGACUAUUGUUCACCCUCCAAAAACUGCCAGAGCAAUUGCAAAGGCGGCGGCGGAGGUGGAGGUGGCGGUGG
rnacentral:misc_RNA from 1 species